CCUACGGGAGGCAGCAGUGGGGAAUAUUGGGCAAUGGACGAAACUCUGACCCAGCAACGCCGCGUGAAUGAUGACGGUCUUCGGAUUGUAAAGUUCUUUUCUAAGGGAAGAAGACAGUGACGGUACCUUAGGACUAAGACUCGGCUAACUACGUGCCAGCAGCCGCGGUAAUACGUAGGAGGCGGGCGUUAUCGGGAUUGACUGGGCGUAAAGGGUGCGUAGGCGGAAUGGGAAGUCAGCGGUAAAAUCGCGGGGCUCACACUCGCUCCGCCGUUGACACUGGCGUUCUUGAGUGGGCGAGAAGUAGGCGGAAUGCGUGGUGUAGCGGUGAAAUGCAUAGAUAUCACGCAGAACUCCGAUUGCGAAGGCAGCAUACCGGCGCCCAACUGACGCUGAAGCACGAAAGCGUGGGUAGCGAACAGGAUUAGAUACCCGGGUAGUC
rnacentral:rRNA from 1 species